rnacentral:lncRNA from 13 species
AUGGGGGCAAACUGGGACAAACUGGGACGGGGCCAAACUGGGAAAUGGGGGCAGACUGGGACAAACUGGGACGGGGUCACGCGGGGAACUGGGGCCAAACUGGGACAGGAUGACACCGGGAACUGGGGCCAAACUGGGCCAAACUGGGCCAAACUGGGACGGGGUCACACGGGGAACUGGGGCCAAGCUGGGACAGGGUCAAACUGGGAACUGGGGCCAAACUGGGCCAGGAUGACACCAGGAACUGGGACAAACUGGGAGAGAGGGAAAUCAGGACUGGGCCAAACUGGGCCAGACUGGGACAGGGUCAAACUGGGAACUGGGCCAAACUGGGCCAGGGCCAAACUGGGAAAUGGGGCCAAACUGGGACAGGGUGACACCGGGAACUGGGGCCAAACUGGGACAGGGUCAAACUGGGACAAACUGGGACAAACUGGGACUGUGGGACUGGGCCAAACUGGGACGGGGCCACACCAUGAACUGGGGGCAAACUGGGCCAAACUGGGCCAAACUGGGACAGGGCCAAACUGGGACAGGACGACACCGGGAACUGGGGCCAAACUGGGAGAGGGGGAAAUCAGCACUGGGCCAAACUGGGACGGGGCCACACCGGGGAACUGGGCCAGGGCCAAACCGGGAACUGGGGCCAAACUGGGCCAGGACGACACCAGGAACUGGGGCCAAACUGGGCUAAACUGGGAGAGGGGGAAAUCAGCACUGGGCCAAACUGGGACGGGGCCACACCGGGGAACUGGGCCAGAGUCAAACCGGGAACUGGGGCCAAACUGGGCUAAACUGGGAGAGGGAGAAAUCAGCACUGGGCCAAACUGGGAGGGGGCCACACCGGGGAACUGGGCCAGGGCCAAACCGGGAACUGGGGCCAAACUGGGACAGGGUGACACCAGCAACUGGGGCCAAACUGGGAGAGGGGGAAAUCAGCACUGGGGCCAAACUGCGACGGGGCCACACCGGGGAACUGGGCCAGGGCCAAACCGGGAACUGGGGCCAAACUGGGCCAGGGCCAAACUGGGCACUGGGGCCAAACUGGGACAGGGUGACACCAGCAACUGGGGCCAAACUGGGAGAGGGGGAAAUCAGCACUGGGGCCAAACUGGGACGGGGCCACACCGGGGAACUGGGCCAGGGCCAAACCGGGAAAUGGGGCCAAACCGGGAACUGGGGCCAAACUGGGCCAAACUGGGAUCCCCUCC